CCCUUAGAUGUUCUGGGCCGCACGCGCGCUACACUGAUGCGUUCAACAAGUAUACAACCUUCAUCGAUAGAUGUGGGUAAUCUUUUGAAUGCGCAUCGUGAUUGGGAUAGAUGAUUGCAAUUUUUCAUCUUCAACGAGGAAUACCUAGUAAACGCAAGUCAUCAACUUGCAUUGAUUACGUCCCUGCCCUUUGUACACACCGCCCGUCGCUCCUACCGAUCGAAGAGUUAGGUGAAUUGUUUUGAUCGAUAAGAUUUGACUAUGGUCAACUCUCGUUGUGAAAUUCUGUGAAUCUGACUGUUUAGAGGAAGGAAAAGUCGUAACA
rnacentral:rRNA from 1 species